rnacentral:lncRNA from 1 species
UUUUUCAUAGAAAAGUGACAGAAUCACAUUCUCCUUGAGCAAAAGCCUUACAUGCACCAAUGUAAUUAAUUCAAAAUUUUCUUUUUUAUAUGUAUUACCAAAAAACAGGAAUUGAAUUGGUAUAUUCAAAUUUCAAAAAUACAAACGUAAUCACGUAUAAAAUUACUUAAUUGCUCCAAUGAUAUGGUAAUGGUAUGACUUUUUUUGAAAAAAAGUGACAAAAUGUCACUCUACAUGAGCAAACACCUUGCACGCAUCCACGUACUCGAUUCAAAGUUUUCUUUUUCAUAUAUAUUACCAAAGAACAGGGGAUGAAUUAGUAUGUUCAAACUUUCAAAAAAGCAUACGUAUGCAUCAAGUUAAUUAUUCCAAUGAGAAAUGGUGAUUGUUUUGGAGAAAGGUCAUAAAAUGUCACAUUUUCGUCGAAAAGUGACACAAUGUCACUUUUUUUUAGAAAAGUAACAGAAUGUCAAUCUUCAUGAGCAAACAUCUUACAUGCAUCCAUGUAAGUGAAUCAGAGUUUUCUUUUUCAUAAAUACUACUAGAAAACAUGCCAUGAAUUAGUAUGUUCAUACUUUCAAAAAAGUACAUCUAUGCAUCAGGUUAAUUACUCCAAUAAUAAAGCGUGACUAUUUUGGAAAAAAAGUGGCAAAAUGCCGCUUUUUCUUAGAAAAGUGACACAAUGUCACUUUUUUUGAGAAAAAGUGAUAGAAUGUCAUACUUUCCAUGAGCAAACACCUUACACACAUCCAUGUAGUGGAUUCAAAGUUUUUUUUUUCCAUAUGUAUUAUCAGAAAACAAAGCAUAAAUUGGUAUGUUCAAAAUUUUAGAAAAGCACAUGUGUGCAUCUAAUUAAUUGCUCCAAUGAUAAAGUGUGACUAUUUUGGAGAAAGGUCACAGAAUGUCACUUUUUCGUAAAAAAGUGACACAACGUCACUUUUUUUUUAAGAAAAGUGACAGGAUGUCACCCUCUCCAUGUGCAAACACAUUGCAUGCAUCCAUAUAAUUGAUUCAAAGUUUUCAUUUUCAUAUGUAUUCUCACAUAACAGGGCAUGAAUUGGUAUGUUUAAAUUUUAAAAAAAGCACACGUAUGCAUCCGGUUAAUUGUUCCAAUGAUAAAGGGUGAUUGUUCUUGUAGAAAGGUAACGAAUGUCACCUUUUCGUUGAAAAGUGACAUAAUGUCACUUUUUUUAGAAAGGUGACAGUAUGUCACUCUUCAUGAUCAAACAUCUUGCAAGCAUCCAUGUAGUCGAUUCAAAGUUUUCUUUUUCAUAUGUAUUACCAAAAAAUAAGAUAUGAAUUAGUACAUUCAAAUUUUCAAAAAAGCACACAUAUGCAUCCGAUUAAUUACUCCAAUGAUAAAUAGUGACUGUUUUGGAGAAAGGUCACAAAAUGUCACUUUUUCUAAGAAAAGUGACAGAAUUCCACUUUCUCACCUUCUCCUAUGAGCAAACACAUUGCAAGCGUCAAUGCAAUUGGUUCAAAGUUUUCUUUCUCAUGUGUAUUACCAAAAAAUAUGACUUGAAUAUAUACAUUCAAAUUUCCAAAAACUCACACAUGUAUAUCUAGCUAAUUGC